rnacentral:rRNA from 1 species
AUUGAACGCUGGCGGCAGGCCUAACACAUGCAAGUCGAGCGGAGCGGCGGACGGGUGAGUACUGCCUAGGGAUCUGCCUGGUAGUGGGGGAUAACGUCAGGAGGAGGGCGAUAUUAUCGCAUGCUAGAAGAUGAGCCUAGGUCGGAUUAGAUAGUUGGAGGGGUAAAGGCCUACCAAGGUGACGAGCCGUAACUGGUCUGAGAGGAUGAUCAGUCACACUGGAACUGAGACACGGUCCAGACUCCUACGGGAGGCAGCAGUAGGGAAUUUUGGACAAUGGGCGAAAGCCUGAUCCAGCCCUGCCGGUGGUGUGAAGAAGGUAUUCGGAUCGUAAAGCACUUUAGGUUGGGAGGCGUUAUCGACAGAGUAAGCAACGGCUAACUACGUGCCAGCCGCCGCGGUAAUUC